rnacentral:tRNA from 1 species
UCUUAGAUCUCAGAGGUUAAAGUGUCUGCCUCCAAUGCAGGAAACCCAGGUUCGAUCCCUGGGUUGGGAA